GGGAUUCUAGAGGCCCUCUCUCUCCCGCACAAGGACGCGAGACGCCCCGGAACUAGGGUUCCUUUCGCCGCCGCGCCCCCAUGGCACCGCUUCCGGCAACCCUCGCCACCAUCUUCCGUCCCCAAUCGCCGUUGUAGUCCCCCGCCGCCGGUAAAUAGCCUUGAACGGAGCCCUAGCCACUGGCUCCCUGGAGCACGGCGCCCGCCGAUAGCCACGAUGGAGCGCCGGUGGACGUCCUGAUUGUGGGCGAGGAUCCCGCCGAGGCGACUAACCUCGACACCGCGCGGCACCCCCAGGCCCCAGCAUCUCUGCCAUCGCCUCGCGCUGCCGUGCGCAAGGAUACCACCACCUCUCCCUGACAUCUCUGUCUCCACUCCCCCGAGGCCCUCCUCGCGGACAGCCUCCAACCCACACAAGAUCCCCUGUUCUGGCUCUGCAGCCUCCCGUGGCUGAGCAACGAAGAGAUCGAGAGGGGAAUACUCAGUUGAUUUUUCAGGGAUUGGUUGUCCGUGGAUUCAAAGAUGAAGUAGAUAGUAAAGGCCAAGGCAACAGGCAUCAGACAUGUUAAUUUUUCUGAACUCUACUAUGGAACAUGUGUUUCUGAAUUUCUGCCAAAGUGUCAACUGUGGAUCGUACAUAGUAGUGCUCUUUUGAUAGUAGGUGGUCUGAAUUUCUGUCAAAGUGAUAACUGUGGAUCAUACAUAGUAGUGCUCUUUUGAUAGUAGGUGGUCGAAGUGUCGAAACACUGGAACAAGCAUAAACUGAUCCUAGCAUCGAAGUGCUUUGUUUUUCCUUUGCAUCAAAUUAUUUUUGUGUUCUCCAGAGUUCAGUGGGACAUAUGAUUGUCGUGCUCCAGCCCGUUUAAUCUCAGGUCUGAUCUCUUUUCAGCUCUUAUAUGUAUAGUACUUGGUUAUACAAACAUGGAACUGAUGGAUAUGUUGGAUUAAUGGAUGCAUAAUUAGACACCUGAUGAUGAAUAGAUGGAAUUAAUGGAUGCAUACAUAUAUGAUUAGACCCUUAAUAAGCUUAGAUGUACUAUGGUUUAUUGCAUUCUCAGUAGGUUGAUAAUUACUGUAUAUGAAAACAAAAUUGUGCGUUCUUAUUUUGUUGGAAUAUUCCCACAAGGCCACACCAGCAAGAUAAUUAGUUUCUUUUUUAUGAAACCAAUAGCUAAUCUAUAUAUUUGCAGGUGAUUCAGAUGAGCGUCUCCCGACUUUAUGCAACAAUCAAAUUUAUUUGAAGUACCAAUAUUUGCAAUAAACAUUCUUAAUCCAUAUUAGUUACGGGAUUUAUAAAUCUUUUCACCACUUCAUAUGUUUGGAGGGGAACAUAUAAGAAACUGAUGGAUCACGUAUAUGUUCUGUGGCAUAAAUACAAUAUAAUUAAUGUGAAAACCACUGAUGUGUCUCAGGAUCACAUGAUCUGUUUAAAAUAAUAUAUAAUUUGCACUCGGCGGAAAAAACUCCCAAAAAAGUUCGCAUGUAAAUGACUGAAUAUUAUAUCCAGAUUUCAGUUUUGUCUCAUUGACAAAAGUAAUCAUUGCGAUGCACCUGAAGAAAUAUACGAUUAUCAUGGUAAGUAUUUUCGUUUCGUGCAGGGUCUUGCGAGCAGGGAAGGAGAGCACCUGUAAGGUAAGAAGGCACCAAUGCAACACGCUGUGAAACCUCGGCAUCGCAAACGGGAUUCUGUCCAAGGAUGCAGAUUUUGAAGUGUCAAGUAUGAUGAUUUGGUUGGAUGCCUUCUGCCUCUGAGCUUCACUGAACACUUGCGUCCACCACCAACCUGCACAUCCGGAAGAAGAGAAGCAAGCUUUCUCCCUCGACCACAACCCACAGCCAUGAUCCCAGUGCAAAGCUCCUGGUCAGCAAUGCCUCACAUGAUGUGUCAUGGAGCCGCCACCCACUGAUGUCUACCACCUCGAUCCACUCAGUUAUGCCCCUCAAUGGAUCUGGGGAGAGAACCCAUGACUAUGAGCAUUGAGAAGAUUAGGUGCGGCGAUUAGGUGUGUGGUCACAAAAAUGAUUGUUUCAUGCUUCUCUUCGCCCAUCUGUAAUGUGUACUCAUCCAGAGCAAUCUAUAAUUUUUUUGGCAUA